AUUCCCCUAGUAACUGCGAGUGAAGCGGGAAAAGCUCAAAUUUAAAAUCUGAUGGUCUUUGACCAUUCGAGUUGUAAUUUAGAGAAGCGUCUUCCGCGCUGGACCGUGCACAAGUCUCCUGGAAUGGAGCGUCAUAGAGGGUGAGAAUCCCGUCUUUGGCAUGGAUCCCAGUGCUUUUGUGAUGCGCUCUCGACGAGUCGAGUUGUUUGGGAAUGCAGCUCAAAAUGGGUGGUGAACUCCAUCUAAAGCUAAAUAUUGGCGAGAGACCGAUAGCGAACAAGUACCGUGAGGGAAAGAUGAAAAGCACUUUGGAAAGAGAGUGAAACAGUACGUGAAAUUGUUGAAAGGGAAACGCUUGAAGUCAGUCGCGUUGACCGAGACUCAGCCUUGCCUUGGCUUGGUGUAUUUCUUGGCUAACGGGUCAGCAUCAAUUUUGAUCCUUGGAUAAUGGCAAGGGAAAGGUGGCACCUUUUAGGUGUGUUAUAGUCCUAUGUCGCAUGCGAGGGUUGGGAUUGAGGAACUCAGCACGCACCUCUGGGUGUCGGGGCUUCGGCCUACGUUACGUGCUUAGGAUGUUGGCGUAAUGGCUUUAAACGACCCGUCUUGAAACACGGACCAAGGAGUCUAACAUACCCGCGAGUGUUCGGGUGGAAAACCCGUGCGCGUAAUGAAAGUAAAAGUUGGGACCUCUGUCGUGGAGGGCACCGACGCCCGGACCAGACCUUCUGUGACGGCUCUGCGGUAGAGCGUGUAUGUUGGGACCCGAAAGAUGGUGAACUAUGCCUGAAUAGGGUGAAGCCAGAGGAAACUCUGGUGGAGGCUCGUAGCGAUUCUGACGUGCAAAUCGAUCGUCAAAUUUGGGUAUAGGGGCGAAAGAC
rnacentral:rRNA from 1 species